rnacentral:rRNA from 1 species
CCCUUAGAUGUCCUGGGCUGCACGCGCGCUACACUGAUGUGUCCAGUAAGCACCUAACCUCUUCCGAAAGGAACGGGUAACCUUUGCAAAGCACAUCGUGAUGGGGAUAGAUUAUUGCAAUUAUUAGUCUUGAACGAGGAAUUCCUAGUAAGCACAAGUCAUCAGCUUGUGUUGAUUACGUCCCUGCCCUUUGUACACACCGCCCGUCGCUCCUACCGAUUGAAUGCUCAGGUGAGCCAUUCGGACUUUCAUCAUGCUGGUUUCCAGUUUUGAUGAAGGAAAGUCUUGCGAACCUUAUCAUUUAGAGGAAGGAGAAGUCGUAACA